UUGGAGUAUCAAGUGCCAUACCAAAACAGGGCACUAUUCUUGGUCCCAAGCCUGUCACUAUCAUAGGAACUGUUUCCUAAGAAUGACAAUGUUUGUGUAUGGGUUUGGGCCUCAUCACAGGCCCCAUUCCCCUACCUGGCACAGUGCCCACGGCUGGCAGAAGACUCGAUUUUGAAUCCAGCACUUGGCUCUGAUGGGAUGUACCCAGGGCGGAACUGCCUGCUGGGGAACAGUAGCACAUUUCUGGCCAGUCGCGCCAUCAGAAAAUGCUACCUCCUGUUGGCUUGUUGGGGACUACAAAGCCCUGGAAUUUUGGAGGAAUAUAGGAAGGGAAGAGGGAUUCAGUAAGGCUCCAUUAACAACAUUCAUCUUGUUCCUGGACUUGAGAGCUCGUGGGAAACACCGCCCCUCCCAGCUCCUCUUUUUCUGGCUGGUUCCCUGAGGAUUACUAAAGUGUGGGUCCCUGAUCUGCUCUUGGUUUUCCUUGGGGGAUAGAGAGGCUCUGUUAGAGAAACAAGAAGGGACUGGUGAUUGGUCUUAUGAAUCCCUUUUACUCUCGUUAAAGGAGGUCCUGGAUCCCGCCUACACAGCCUUCCACAGUGGUCUCAUUCACGCAGCCAAGCAGGAGUUUUUGCUCACUUCUGGUUUCUGGAGAAUUGACCAAGGUGUUGGCAGUCUUAACCUCUAGGGAUAUUCAGGUCCAUCCCUAACCCUAACCCUAACUUUCCCUCGCCCAGUGACGAGAACAGGGACCCUGUGCCUUGAGCAGCAGAAUGCAGAGCACCUUUUUCCACAAUGUGCUUUGAACACAUGCACCUCAAACCUGUAAGAGUGAAUGUUGUGACCUGACUCCUUGCCCAACACUUCCAGCCUCAGGCAAGGUCAUCACAGAAUCCAGAUACCAAAUGUCCUCCAGCCUCUUGUUUCCCACCUCAUCUCUUGGGAAACAAGAUGCUAAAAGCAAGUAAGUGUUCUGGUUUGCCGCUUUCCUUACAGCAACCCCAUUCCAGCUAAUCAGGUUCUCCAAGAUUGGAAGAACCAUGGCUUCAGGGGGCCAAGCGAUAAACUGGGUUUCUUUCCUUCAUCUUCCGUGACCAGCGCAAUAAAGUUGUCCACUCCUCUCUUGCUAUCAGAAACCUAACAAGUGUAACCCUGGCCCAUUGGUCUUGACCAGAGAAAGGCCAGCUCAGAGGAACUGGGGCCACAGAUACAAGGGCCUUUCCCAGUGGGGACAUAAAUGGGGGACAGUAGAAAGACCAAAAGGAGAAUGGAGGGUAGGGACUGAAUUGUUAGAGGCUACCGGUGAGCAAGGACAUCCUUGCAUCAGCCACCAUAAAUAGGACUCCCCCAGGUCAGGACUGUUACUCAGGGCAGCGAUGCAGACAGGCAGGGCCCAGGAAACCAGCAAUUGCUUGGUUACCUUUCCAUUGCCUCCUAGAAGAAAGUGGCAUUAUCCCUACUUUGUAAAUAGAGAUGUUGACACACAAUCAAGAGCACUCUUAGCCAUAAAAAAAAAAAACAAAAAAAACAAAACUACCAUAACCCAGGAGCUGUGGGCUGAUUUUUGAUUCCUCUUAAAAUUAGCUUUUCCAAAAAAAAAAAAAAAAAAAAAAAAAAAAAUUAGCUUUUCCAAGGUGCUAAAUUCAGUUGAAGACCUCAUUGGGUGUUUUCUGUCUUUGGCAUUGUUAGGCAGCGUGGGAAAAUGACAACAGGCAGUUCUGCUCUGAGUUGGUUGCUGUUUCUUAGGAGAGGAAGACAUCGGCACUUGGGACUGUUUAGGAAACAGUAGACCCAGAUGUCUAUCAACUGAUAAACGGGUUCAUAAAAUGUAGAACAUCCAUACAGUGGAAUAUUAGUUGGCCAUGAAAAGGAGUGAAGUAGUGAGAUGUGCCACAACAUGGAAGGACCUUGAAAGCGUUACGCUAAAUGAAAGAAGACGCUUGCAAAAGAUCAUUAGUGUGUGAUUCCAUUGAUGUGAAAUACCCAGGCCAGGCAGAUAUCUCAGGAACAAAGCAGCAGUGGCUGGCUGUGGGUGGGGGGGUUCUUUUGGGGAUGAUUAGAAAAUGUUCUACAGUUAGAUUGUGGUGAUGGUUGCGUAACUCUGUGAAUAUACUUUAAAAAAAAAUUGAACUUGUGUGCUCUAAAUGGGUGACUUUUAUAGUAGGUGAAUAUAUCUCAACAAAGAUGUUUUUAAAAGAAACGAUACAAGAUGGUAUGUAAUCGAGUGUGAAUUUGUGUGGUUUGUACAGAAACUGUGUUACAGUUAGGGUAGCAACACUGGAGCCAACAGCAGGCUUCCUGCGCCCCUUCCUGUCGGCUUUGAUGGUGGCUUUGAGCAGUGUCGGGUAGGGUGGAGUGGGGGAAGGACUAGAGCAUCACAGAGCUGAAGGUCUUGAGCCAAAGUCAGUUUUGUUGUGAGGAGAGAGUGCAGUUGGUCUGGAGAACAGCCAGCCUUGAAGUGGAAGGUAGGGAGAAGAAGGCUCUGUGGGGGAGGAGAGCCUUGAAUGGCAAGCAGGGAUUUUGAUUUUAUGGUGCAGGAUCUUGAUGAGAAUAAAGGGACAGAGCACACCAAGGCUUAGAGCCUCCGAGGGAGCUGGAACUCCGAGUGGCAGGGAAAAGAAAGCUGGUCCUUGAGACUUUUCAUACAUGCCCGUAAGUUGUGUUGGGGAUCCAAACUAGAAUCAGCCAGAGCUGGUCUCAGCCAGGCCAGUGUCCCUUUGCUGCUUUCUCUCAGGGAAGUGCCCAUGUUGUCCUUACCACCUCUUUGUCCCUUGAGCCUGCCAAAAGAGGCUGUGAUGCCAGAGGCUAAGAAUUUGAGUUUACUGAGUUGACGAUUUGACCAACGGCUUGUACAGAUUAGGAGCUGCAAAAUAUUUAAUCAGUGAGGUCAUUGGAGGGAGUGGAGAUUUGAUCAAUAGGAGUGUCUCCUGUUUUCCUUAAGGGUCAAGUCUGAACUGCUUUUCUUCUCCCUUCUUUUGGCAAAACCACAAACCAUUAAAAAUGGAAAGAAUAACUUUUUUUUAAUACCCACAAAAGCUUAUUUUUAAUCAGUUAUGUGGUCUCUGCUCACCUUUGUGGUGUUCCUCUUGACCUGAUUCACAGAAAUAUAAAUGACGGUUAGCCUAGUGGCUUCCAAACCCUUUUGAAGCAGCGCCCCCACUUUGAUGACUCACACAUAACCAGUAUUUAAGACAGCCCUUGGGUUGAAGAGGGUCAGGGCCUACUGCCUUGGCCCCUUUGAGGAAAGCAGCUGUUAGUCCCCAGUGCUGGCUGACGCCCGAGGGGCUCAUUUCCUUCAUUUGUAAGGUUUCUGGCAAAAACCUGGAUAAACUCCAGAGUUGGUUACAGUGAGGAUUGGAGAAGGAGAAAAGAAGGUUUAGAAAGGAAGAGGAGGAGGCAGUGCCUAUGUCCUUUUAUGCAUUGUUCACAAGCAUUUAUUAGGCAACUCUUUAUGAGUGCCAGACACUGUACUGGGUGUCAUCCCCAUCCUGGGGACUGUCCUUCAGUGUGCAGUGCAAUGGGAAGGCACCUGACCUAGACUGGGAGCUAGAAGAGGCUUUGAGGCAGAAUCCCCAGCCAGGCAGAGGCCUGGAGGGCAGCUGAGAGCUGGCAGGACAUGGGCCUCCAAGGGCCCUGGGGUGCGGGGAUGGGAGAAAGAGUGUGUUUCUGGGGCUCCUACUUUGGGGACCUGCAAGGAGUCCUGGCUGAGCCCGCUGAUGGUUAACUGGGGCGUGGGGGGCUGAGAAUGAAAGAAGGCUCCCAGGAGACAUAAGUCAGGUGGUGGAUAGGAGCCAAAACAAGUGCACUUUUUUUUUUUUUUUAAGAUUUUAUUUA